AAAUCCCGUUCGAGUUAUCUCCCGCGAUAACUCAUAUGCAGACAGACUGAAUUUUCUCUAGCUGCAAAGUUAUGUACAUCGGCACUGGCUGAUCAGUGAUGCAAGCCAGCAGAAACUUUACAUCAACAUCAUCAAGAUGUGUCCGAUCUAACGUACUAUUAUAUACUCAGCGAUUGAAAAGUUCGUGAUCCUGGAUAGGAGAGGAGCGGAUCGUCAACAUGCAGGGUUGUUUUAAGAUCCAAAGCAAUGUUACACAGAUAGAAGAAUAGGUGAAUGCCUUUCCAGUAUAUGUUGUAUAUAUGAUGGCUAUUAACAAUAACAUACAUGUAUAUCACUUGGGAAAUCAUGCACAACAAACUGUCCAUAUGAUGAUACCAUGUUGACAAAGAUAUUUAAAUAUGGAGAGGGAUAAAGAGACAUGCUACAGAAGAAGGAAGAUAAAGGCACAUGAUACAGACACCAGAGUGAUUACACCAACAUCAGUCCAAUAACAUUGGUACACACUGAAACUUGAGACCACAAAGGCCUGGAUUCUUUUGAAAUAUACUGUCAUCUGUGCAAUAUCACUUGGAAUCAUGGAAAACUUGUAUCACAGUGUUAACAAUUUUCAGUGAAUUUUCAUUGUCUAGCAUAGAAAUAAUUAAUUUUAUGUUUGAAUAUAUAGCUGGAAAUUUUCCUAUAUGUAAUUCACUUACUGCGUUCAACAGGUUUGGUACACGCAAACUCAUAAAUUGUAUCUCAAAAACAUAAGACUUAAAGUAUGUAUCCUAAAUAAUGACCAAUGCAAUCAGCACAGUAUUACACAUGUAAUAAAAUCUUAAUGUUUACUGACCUUCUAAGAAGAGAGAUAUAACUCUCAGUUGGUGUGAAUGACUAUUGUAAAGGCAAAGUUUUACAUGUUUACAUAAACAAAGACUUUAAAAGUUUUGAAAACAUUUAUAUUUUGAUAAAAUGUAAACUCUAUUCUAAUUUUUAUUUAUACAUGUAUUAAUUCCAACACAUGUAGAAAUUGUUUAGUUGUCUUAAUGUCAAAUUUGUUAAAAAAAAAAAAAAGACACUAGUAUGUCAACAUAUGAAUGAAAGAAUGUUUUUAAAGUGUUAUAAAUUGAUUUGUCAUAAUUAAAUUUUUAUAUG
rnacentral:sRNA from 1 species